rnacentral:rRNA from 1 species
CACGUAGGGGGCGAGCGUUGUCCGGAAUCAUUGGGCGUAAAGAGCUCGUAGGCGGCUCAGUAAGUCGGGUGUGAAACCCCCAGGCUCAACCUGGGGACGCCACUCGAUACUGCUGUGGCUAGAGUCCAGUAGAGGAGUGUGGAAUUCCCGGUGUAGCGGUGAAAUGCGCAGAUAUCAGGAGGAACACCGAUGGCGAAGGCAGGUCUCUGGGCCACUAUUGACGCUGAGAAGCGAAAGCAUGGGGAGCGAACAGG